rnacentral:rRNA from 1 species
AUUGAACGCUGGCGGCAGGCUUAACACAUGCAAGUCGAGCGGGGUGAUGGUGCUUGCACUAUCACUUAGCGGCGGACGGGUGAGUAAUGCUUAGGAAUCUGCCUAUUAGUGGGGGACAACAUCUCGAAAGGGAUGCUAAUACCGCAUACGUCCUACGGGAGAAAGCAGGGGAUCACUUGUGACCUUGCGCUAAUAGAUGAGCCUAAGUCGGAUUAGCUAGUUGGUGGGGUAAAGGCCUACCAAGGCGACGAUCUGUAGCGGGUCUGAGAGGAUGAUCCGCCACACUGGGACUGAAACACGGCCCAGACUCCUACGGGAGGCAGCAGUGGGGAAUAUUGAACAAUGGGGGGAACCCUGAUUCAGCCAUGCCGCGUGUGUGAAGAAGGCCUUAUGGUUGUAAAGCACUUUAAGCGAGGAGGAGGCUCUUUUGGUUAAUACCCAAGAUGAGUGGACGUUACUCGCAGAAUAAGCACCGGCUAACUCUGUGCCAGCAGCCGCCGUAA